ACAAUCUAAUGACAUUCCAUAGGAAUAAAAAUCCAAUGGGAUCCAGUUCUUAGCAGUCCCAGCCUAGUCAGAAGUACAAAGUCAAAUACCAUUUGCACAUCACCAAGAGGUACAAUCUGAUGAGUAACAGGAUAUCUGAUCUAAAAGCUUGCCAGGUUUCACAAGCUGUUUGAGUAUCACCAUGGCAGAUCAAGAAGAAAUAUGAAGGCCAGGUUCAUAACAAGCAGUUUCUUCAUUGCAAUUACAGAUUUAAAAACUUGAAUGA